GCGUGCCUAAUACAUGCAAGCUGGAACGCAUGAUUGAUACCGGAGCUUGCUCCACCAUUAAUCAUGAGUCGCGAACGGGUGAGUAACGCGUAGGUAACCUACCUCAUAGCGGGGGAUAACUAUUGGAAACGAUAGCUAAUACCGCAUAACAGUCUUUAACCCAUGUUAGAGAUUUGAAAGGGGCAAGAGCUUCACUAUGAGAUGGACCUGCGUUGUAUUAGCUAGUUGGUGAGGUAAAGGCUCACCAAGGCGACGAUACAUAGCCGACCUGAGAGGGUGAUCGGCCACACUGGGACUGAGACACGGCCCAGACUCCUACGGGAGGCAGCAGUAGGGAAUCUUCGGCAAUGGGGGGAACCCUGACCGAGCAACGCCGCGUGAGUGAAGAAGGUUUUCGGAUCGUAAAGCUCUGUUGUUAGAGAAGAACGUGUGUGAGAGUGGAAAGUUCACACAGUGACGGUAACUAACCAGAAA
rnacentral:rRNA from 1 species